UUGAAAAUUAUAAAUUAUUAAAAGUAUUAUUAUUUUAUUUUUAUUAUAUAAAAUUUAAGGUUUUUAUUUAAAAAGGUAAAAUUUAUUUAAUUAUAGUUAAAAGUAUUGUAAAAGAAUUUUGUAAUUUUUAAAAAAGAAAUUUUUAAUUAUUGUACCUUGUGUAUCAGGGUUUAUUAAAUAAAUUUAUGAAUUUAAUUUUUUCGAAUUUAAAAGAGUUAAAAAAUUAAUUUAUUUUAUUGUAUUAUAAAUAAGUAAAAUAAUUUUUUGGUAAUGAAAUGUUAUUCGUUUUUAAAUAUAUCUAAUUUUUUAAGAAAUAAAUUUAAUUUAUUUAAUAGUAAUACUUUUUAUAUUUUUAAAAAAGUAUUAUUAUUAAAAAAUAUUUUUAGGGAUAAGCUUAAAAAUUUAUUUUUAUUAUUAAAUUUAAAAUAUAAAAUAUUUUAGGAUUGAAAUUUUUUAUAAUAUAAAUAUGUUGUAAUUUAUUUUUAUUAAAUUAAAAUUUAUUUUUAAUAUAAAUUUUUUAUUAAAAUAUAAUUUUUAAUAAUAAUUAAUUAUAAAUAAUGAUAAAAUUAGUAUAAUUUAAUUUAUAUUUUUGUAUAAAUUUUAGGUUAAUUAAAGGAACUCGGCAAAUAAAUUUUUCAACUGUUUAUUAAAAACAUUGCCUUUUGUGUUAUAUUUAAGGUAUUACCUGCCCAAUGUAGUAUGAAUGGCUGCAGUAUUUUGACUGUACUAAGGUAGCAUAAUCAUUAGUUUUUUAAUUAAAAGCUGGAAUGAAGGGUGUAAUGGAAUAAUUACUGUCUCUAAUUAAUUUAAUUAAAAUUUUAUUUUUAAGUUAAAAAGCUUAAAUAUUUUUAAAAGACGAGAAGACCCUAUAGAAUUUUAUAUUUAAUUUAUUAUAAUUUUUUAGAAUUUAUAAUAUUAGUAAUUUAAAUAUUUAAUUGGGGUGAUUAAAAAAUUUAAUAAACUUUUUUUAAAUUAUAAUACUAAUUAGUAAGUUAAUGAUCCAUAAAUUAUGAUUA
rnacentral:rRNA from 1 species